GACUGCCGGGCUAAAAGUCGGAGGAAGGUGGGGAUGACGUCAAAUCAUCAUGCCCCUUAUGACCUGGGCUACACACGUGCUACAAUGGUUGGUACAACGAGUUGCGAGUCGGUGACGGCGAGCUAAUCUCUUAAAGCCAAUCUCAGUUCGGAUUGUAGGCUGCAACUCGCCUACAUGAAGUCGGAAUCGCUAGUAAUCGCGGAUCAGCACGCCGCGGUGAAUACGUUCCCGGGCCUU
rnacentral:rRNA from 1 species